GGACCUCCUCCUUCAAUUUAAACAAAUUUAGAACAAUUCUAAAAUAAAAUAUUUUGACAUAAGUUAGUAAAAAAUACAUGAAUUCCACUUACCCCCGGAGCUACGGGCCAUCUAGAGGAAAACUUCCCAUCCUUUCAAUAAAUUCGGUAUAACGUGUCCCAAGACUUCGCGUCUAUGGGAUAUUCUUCUCUCAAGCCUAAAAAACACAUUAAAAAAAAGAAGAAAAAAAAUACAAGUUAAUACUACUCUCUCCGUUCCAUAAGAGUGUGCAUGAUUGUUGGUGGCACAGAUUUUCAUAUAUGAUGGAUGAGUGUGUUAUGAGUGGAAGAAGGGGCCCACUUCUAUUGUUGUGUUAUGAUAGUGAUAUUAUUAAAUUGUGUUUAAUAUAUAAAAGAAAGAAAAACCCUUGAAAGCACAGACUGCAAAUUAAGGGCCGGACCUCAUUAAAAUCUUAAUUGAAAAAAAUCAGUAAGGAAAAAAUCUCAAAAAGGAAAAAGAGUGCCCAUAAAAAAGAGUACAAUAGAUGUAAGAAAAACAACCCCAACAACGGCCAAGAAUCCAUUCUGAGCUUCAAACUAACCAUCACCCAGACAAGACGAUGUACACAAUUGGGGAAACUAAGGACCGAUCUUCUCGAAUGACCCCAAGCCUUAGCGCACCGGAAGCCUGUAAAAAAGGUCGCAAGUAGAGCUAAGAUCACCAGUCUAC
rnacentral:lncRNA from 1 species